rfam:Rattus norvegicus chromosome 20, whole genome shotgun sequence.
GGGGAUUUAGCUCAGUGGUAGAGCGCUUGCCUAGGAAGCGCAAGGCCCUGGGUUCGAUCCCCAGCUCUG